rnacentral:rRNA from 1 species
UACGGAGGGUGCGAGCGUUGUUCGGAAUCACUGGGCGUAAAGCGCGUGUAGGCGGCCCAUUAAGUCUGAUGUGAAAGCCCGGGGCUCACCCCCGGAAGUGCAUUGGAAACUGAUGGACUCGAGUCCCGGAGAGGAGAGUGGAAUUCCUGGUGUAGCGGUGAAAUGCGUAGAUAUCAGGAGGAACACCGGUGGCGAAGGCGGCUCACUGGACCGGUUCUGACGCUGAGGCGCGAAAGCGUGGGGAGCAAACGGG